CGGCGGCAGCGGGAGCGGCUGGACCAGCAGCCGGAGCCCUGUGUCCUGCAGAAAGGAACAUGGAAGUGCCGGGGAGUGCGUGGGGGGCGUGGGGGGGGGAGGGGGUGGGAUGAUGGGACCCGUCUGAACAUGGUGCGGCGGUCCCGGGAGUCUCUUGGCAGGGACAGGCUCACCCUGCUCCCAGCUCCUCCUCCAGCUCCUGCGCCAUUCGUCAGUGCAAUGAGUACCUGGUGCUCAGCCUGGCCCCCCAGGGCACAUACCGCUGGUCCCAGUGGGCUCAGUAAUGCCCACUGCUCCCAAGGGCAUUCCUGCAGGAAUCACGGCUGCGCCAGCCAGCCACAGGCUCACCAGCACUGCUCUGCCUGGUGCAGGCACCAGAGACAGUGGAAGGCUGUUCCUGGAGCUGCCGUGGAAGAAGGAAAGGGUCUUGGCUACAGGGAUUUUGAAUCAAGCAAAUCCCGGGGUGCACUGCCAUGCAGAAACACAUGCAGAGAAGCAGCCUUGGAUCAGGGCUUGGAGCCAUAGCAGGGGAAAACAAGCAGCGGCAGAGCGUUGGGCCGAGCCGUGCCGUGCUGGACCGGGCGGAGCCGGGCCAUGGUCCCCUGGGCGGUGGCAUCCCCAGCCUAGCGCGGCGGCGGCGGCGGCUGGGGGAUGCGGCGGGAGCCGCCAGAGUGGCUGGCGCAGAGCAGCCCUGGGAUGGAGCCACCACAGGCCCCUCGGCAACCUCAGCCCACCCACCCCCUCACUGCUGCUGCUGGACCAGGGUGGGCUACCGUCCUCUGAGGCUGUGUGACAGGGAACUGGCG
rnacentral:lncRNA from 1 species